GACGAACGCUGGCGGCGUGCCUAACACAUGCAAGUCGAACGGAGAUUACGGACUUAAGUUUUCGGGUGGAAGGCUGAAAUUGUUAGUAGCGGGCGGGUGAGUAACGCCUGGGCAACCUGCACUGUACAGGGAGAUGGGCGCUUGAAAGGGAUGGUAAGACCGCAUAAGUGGGUUAGGUGGCAUGGUUUUAUCGGGAGAGGAGGAAUCAGGUGUAGGAUGAGCCCGCGUCGGAUUAGCCAGUUGGAAGGGUAAAAGACUAGUAAGGCGACGAUCGGUAGCCGGACUGAGAGGGCGGACGGCCACAUUGGGACUGAGACACGGCCCAGACUCCUACGGGAGGCAGCAGUGGGGGAUAGUGCGCAAUGGAGGAAACUCUGAUGCAGCGACGCCGCGUGAGUGAAGAAGUUUUUCGGUAUGUAAAGCUCUAUCAGCAGGGAAGAUGAUGACGGUACCUGGCUAAGAAGCGCCGGCUAACUACGUG
rnacentral:rRNA from 1 species